AUGAGGGCGCCAUUUCUCGGUUCAACCCGGGCCAGGAAAAUAGAACUCCCUCAUUUCACAGCGCGCGCAACGGUCACGUCCAAUGAUUAUCCAUGGGGCAAUGUUCAGUUGCUUGCUCAGUAGAACGCUCUAUGUUUUGUGUCGGGUGUUUGUCUUUAUUCGUUAAAUGUUCAUGUGAUAUUAUGUCCUAAUAUAUUGGAAUACAUUAUGUAGCCUAUUGGCCAUUUAUAUUUAAACCAGUGAAAAGUAUUGAUCAUUGAGUGAUAUACUAAUGUUCAUUGAUAAAUACCUUUUAAGGUGCAUUUUGGAUUAUCUCCGGUCAAUCAUCUGAAACUACAGCCCCCAUAGUUCCUUGCAAAAUCUCACAGACUCAGUUGCUCUGAAAUGCAUUCAACUGAGCAACAGCGCGCACACGAGUUCAGUCGGGGAAGAAUUUAGAGGUAGGUUUUUACCUACUUUCCUUGUCAAUGUACAAAGUUGUAUGUACAUUGUUUAAAACCCAAUUAUUGGUGUCAACUUCAACUAGCUAACAAGUUCACCAAUGUUCCCUGCAAUAAGAUAAUAUUAACUCGCAUGAUGGAGCUAACAUUAGCUAGAUAGUGUCAGCUACUGUAGGCAGUUAGCUAAAUUGUAUAGGCUAUUUGAUUUUAGCUGUUGCGAGCUCUCUGACAUUGUUCACUAGCAAGGGGUUUAUUAAAAUAAGCACCUACCUCUUCCAGACAAGCUUAGCUACCUUUAGCUAACUAACGUUAGGUAUUCCAGACUGGAAUCUGGUUAGCUAACGUGACUAGUUAGCUAACAUUGAAUAUGGCUCGUGCCAGCCAUGCGUGCAGAAGUUGCACCCCUGUUUUAGCGAAUACUUUUUCAAGUAACUAUGUCUGGUCUCACGCAUGCAACAUUGCAAUUACAAAUCUUUCUAACCAUGGUCGUUCGUUGUGAAUCCAAUUUUUCGGAGUGUGUCAACCCCAAGUUAAUAAAUCAGUCCAACAGAGAACAACAAAGUUAUCAUACACUGACUGCACCCAAAUAAUACUCGUUACCUGACAGCUCAGAUCUGUUAGGGUCGUUGUUUACCAUGGUUGUUACUAUAAUACGUGUGAUUUGAUGUCACUGCCCGGGAAAGGACCGCUUUGGACAUAGGGAGUUUGGUUGAGCACCAUCCCACAAAAUAAUGAAGAAUAAAGCACUCUGUCAGAAAACAAACUUUGAGUGACUAUUUGCAACCAUUAUUGUAUUUUACAGGUUCAAACAGACCAGAGGUCCAGCUGUAAACUAGCUUGCUUUCAAUCAUUGUUAAUCCAUGGAAUGGAGCAAAGGUUGACCUUGUCUCAUACAUAGAGUAUGAAAAUGGCUGCAGGUAGCACUUUAACUCCAUGUUCGUCAUUGUGAAAGGUUUCCCUCUCACCCCCUCUAAUGUUUAACACUGGAUCCUUUGUGGAACUUGUAAGGGAAGAGUGUUAACAGGAAUCUCUACUCAUUGUCUGCUUAGAACAUCUGAAUUGGUGGUUUAGGCCCUACUCUCUGGUUUCUAUGAAAAUUCCUAUACCAAGCCUCUUCACUAUAGCAAUACCACUUAGUCAUUUUAUACAGUCAGAGGUAGACUUGGGACCCCAGUGUCCACUGUCAGGCCACUACCAUGGUGGGCAAAGAUGCUAUGGUGAGUGGGGACAGGGCUGUGGAGGAAGAGGCUGAACUUGACCUGAAGGAGACCUCCCCUGGAGAGCCUGACCCCGAGAUGGCUCUUCCCCCACCUGAGGACCCCUCAAACGGCCAGACCAAGACCGCCCGGACCUGGGAGUUGUCGGUGGUGUUCCUGUGUUUCUAUGGGUUUAUGGUGCAGCUGAAGCCUGGGGAGCCCUUUAUAACACCAAACCUGCUCAGCAUGGAGAAGAACUUCACCAGGGAACAGGUGACCAAUGAGAUCAACCCGAUCCUGUCCUACUCCUACAUGGCGGUGCUGGUGCCAGUCUUCCUCCUGACAGACGUCUUGCGUUACAAGCCCGUCCUGGUCCUCUCCAGUCUCAGCCAUGUGGCCAUCUGGCUCCUCCUCCUCCUGGGCUCCUCCCUCUUAGAGAUGCAGUUCAUGGAGUUCUUCUACGGCAUCACCAUGGCAGCACGCGUGGCUUACUCCUCCUAUAUCUUCUCCCUGGUCACCCCAGAGCUCUACCAACGUGUGGCCAGCUACUCGCGCUCUUGUGUCCUCAUGGGGGUGUUUGCCAGUUCGGUGCUGGGCCAGGUGCUGAUAUCUGUGGGAAGGCUCUCCUUCGCCACGCUCAGUGCUGUCUCCUUGGCCUUGGUGUCCUUUGGCCUGGUGCUCUCCGUCUGCCUGCCCUGGCCCAAAAGGUCCUUGUUCUUCAACAGGGCCCACCAUGCUGCCCAGAGGAACCUCCAGGAGCAGGCUGCCGCACAGUCGGAGCUGGCCAGGAUGAAGCAGGGCGAAGCGGGCUUGGGUUCGGGUGACACACCCUCCCUGGCCCCUCUCAGCUCUGGUUCCUCCUGGAGGGACUCUGUGUUUAUUCAGAUGCUGAAGGAGCUGAGGAACGUGCCGCGGAGGCCCAGCCUGAGACUGUGGAGCCUGUGGUGGGUGUUCAACUCCGCUGGCUACUACCUGGUGCUGUUGUACAUCCAUGUCCUGUGGAACAAGGUGUACCCCGCCACGGAGAACAAACACGUCUACAACGGAGGGGUGGAGGCUGUCUCCACACUACUGGGUGCGAUCACGUCGUUUGCGGCGGGCUUCGUGAAGAUCCGCUGGAACGUGUGGUCUGAGCUGGUGAUCGGCGUCAUCACGGCUCUACAGGCUGGCCUGCUGCUCCUCAUGGGGACCACCAGCAACAUCUGGGUCUGCUAUGUGGCCUACUCCCUCUUCAAGGGUUUCUACCAGUUCCUCGUGCCCAUCGCCAUUUUCCAGAUCGCUCCGCUCACCAAGGAGCUGUGUGCCCUGGUGUUUGGGGUCAACACUUUCCUGGCGACCGUUCUGAAGACCAUCAUCACCCUCAUCGUCUCUGACAAGAAGGGUCUGGGACUAGACGUGCACUCCCAGUUCCUGGUCUACUUCUUCUACUUUGCCUUGCUGACGGUUAUCUACCUGGGCUGUGCUGCCUGGGUCAUCAUUCGCCACUACAGGAACCAAUCGGCAGGAGGGGGAGGGGACACAGACCAGGCCACGCCCACUGAGCUAUGUUCCGUACCAUCAAACCCCUCAGAGACGGAACCUCUGUCCAAUGGGAACAACGUGAAGGCCUGAAAGGAAUAUUCUGGUAUAUUCUGGUAUGUUGGCAGAGUCAGAUUCAGAGUCAGAUGCAGUUUGAAGGAAUUUGCUAACUAGCGUUAGCCAAAUUGCUAACUUCCGUUAGCAUAAUGACUGGAAGUCUAUCGGAACAGCUAGCAUGCAAGUUGUCCCUGUAGACUUCCUGUCAUUGCGCUAGCUAACGCUAGUUGGCAUUGGCUCGCGAAACUACCUCUAACUUCUUUCAUACUGGAUGCAGAGACAUAAAAAUGGUAUCCAUGAGUUCAUCUGACUGUGUGGAAGUUGAUAAAGGGUCUCCUUGCCAAAAUCCUUAACUAACCCUUGAACAUUGUGUCAUCUUUACAUCAACACCUAAACCCCCUACACUGACUUUGAGUGGUCCCAAACGGUCUGGGAAUCUCUGCUACGGUUUCCACACGACUGCACAAGGACAGAUGAGACUUAGAGGAAGCCCACAUGAAUGUGAAUGUGUAAACUGGAAUAUAGUUGUUAUGAACUACUGCGAAUGAGUUUUGAGGAUUUAGCAAUGAGCUGGCAGACCUUAAUUCUGCAUGUUAUUUUCCAGAAUUUUCGAAUGAGCUAUUUUGUAUUGUUUAAAUGCAGGGGUUCUCAAACGUUUUUGCUUCGUGACCCACCAAUUGAGCUGUGUUUUGAGUCUCCACCCACCAUAAGGGUUGAGUGGUAAAAAAAAACGUACACAGACCAAAGCAUAAAUACAAAAUAUGAUCUUGGCAGCGGACACUAUUUUGCCGUUUCAAAGCUAAUCCCUGCAUUUCCACAUCCUGCCAUGGAGCUGAAAUAAAAAAAUUGCAAUUUUAAAAACAAUUUCCUGCAAUUCUAUGCAUUUUGCCAUGGAGCUGAAAUUUUGUUUGCUUUUAAGCAAAUUUCAUGCAAUUCUAUGCAUUAUGACAUGGCUGUUUUUUUUAUGCACCAACAUAACAUCAGUGGAGGCCUGAUUGUCUAGCUUUUAUUUUGUUGAUUGUAAAUUCUCAGAUUAUAGGCUAUUAUUGAAAAUAUAUAGGUCCGUUCUCUUUUCUGCAUACCAUCCCACAGUUUGGGAACUACUGUUUUAAUGGAACAAUUUAUUUAUCUGUGCAUAAGAGUGAAAUUGGGUUUUCUUAAAUGUUUGUCACAGGAAAUAAAUGCAAAAUGAAUUUGAAAAAUGUAAAUAUCUUUUAGACCUAUGUUUAUUCUUUGGAAUCUGACAACUCUGGGAACUCAUAUCUGGUGUACCCUUUACAUUCUAAAUGUGUUUAUACCAUACUUAAAGUACGCCCAUAAAUGCAGAUUACUCCUAACCAAUUGUUUUUAUUGAAGUUGCCUUUAGUUUAAUUUAAUUGCUGUGCAUAGGAAGUGGUUUGCUGAAUUCCCCUCCCCUUGAGUAAUCUUAGGACCAUCUUACUACAAAACUGAGAAAUCAUGUCAGAAUAUAGACUAUAGUAGUUGAGUGUCUAUUAAUUACAUGUAGGGUGGAUAAAAGAUGUGUGUGAACAAUUACAAGCACUUAACUUGAGAACGCUAUGUACAAUGGGUCCGGAACACGAGAUAUGCAACUUGAACUUUGCACUAUUCUCGAAUUGAUUUAAAAGGUCAUAUCUCAAGGUAGGUUUCAGCCUAUAGUGAUGAGGUUGUAGAGUAUACAAUGAUUUUUACAUGGUCAUAUGGCCUCGUAAACAAAUACAAAGGUAUGAGAUUAAUUGCACCUAAUGGUCUAUAUGCCGUGCAGUAUACUAGCCAACGAGUUCGGUAUAGGAUAAGAUUUGUAACGUUAACUGUCAGAAUUGUUCAUGUUUAUUAUUGUCACACUGACUUCAAUCAAUGCCGAAAAUACACUUUGGGUGAAUGACUGUGAACCUAUUUUGUUGCUGUAAAAAAAAAAAAGAUUUAUGUCAACAUUUUAUUUUUUGAUUUACAAAUAAAUCAGUUUGGAAAAACAAUGUAGCAUUUGUUUGCAAUAAACAUUGAUGACAUUGAGAGAGAUGGCACAGUACAUGUCACCUCAGGAAACUCCUCACCAGGGUCAUACACCGGUUCAUUCAGUGAGCUGCAAUGCUUUGGUCUUUGGAUUAAAAGCCUUAUUUAAUUUCCAUCACAGUGCUUAGACAUGAAAAACACUUAAGAGCACUUUUGAGGAUUUUGAAAACGCAAAAGGACAUUGCAAAACAAAAA